UACGGGGGGAGCAAGCGUUGUUCGGAUUUACUGGGCGUAAAGGGCGCGUAGGCGGUAGCACAAGUCAGUUGUGAAAUCUCCGGGCUUAACUCGGAAAGGUCAACUGAUACUGUGCGACUAGAGUGCAGAAGGGGCAACUGGAAUUCUCGGUGUAGCGGUGAAAUGCGUAGAUAUCGGGAGGAACACCAGUGGCGAAGGCGGCUACCUGGGCCAGUUCUGACGCUGAGGCGCGAAAGCGUGGGGAGCAAACAGG
rnacentral:rRNA from 1 species